UGCAAGUAAACCUUUAGGUCACAAGGCUGUCUCUGUUAGUCCUUACCAGCUGUUGCCGCAGUAAUACCAGUGAAUAGUAGGAGACAAGGUGGAAGGGUGUUGGUAACACACUGGUGUUUUGGUGUUUUGGUGUUUUGAGCACUGCUGAGCAGCACUGGCACAGCAACAGCACUGUCUCUCCAACAUUCCUCCCCCAUGAAGGGGCUGGGGGUGGGCAGGAUCCUGGGAUGACACAACCAGGCCAGAUGAUCCAAAUUAACCAAAGGGAUAUUCCCUAUCAUAUGGCAUCAGCUUAGAUAUAAAAGUUAAGGAAAGUAAGAGAAAGUGGGGGCAUUUGUUAUUUUAGUGUUUGCCUUCCAUAGCAACCAGUCUGUGUGCUGAAGCUCUGCUUUCUGGGAAUUGGCUGAACAUCCCUCACUGAUUGGAGACCUGAAGAUCUAUUUUGAUUCUUCCCAGAAGCCAUAAAAGGAAUACUCCAUCAGGUUUAACUUCAAUAUGAAGAAGAGCUCUGACAGGAGUAUUUCUUCUCCCUAAACUUGGCAAUGAAUGCAGGCCAAGUUUCCAUACUGAGAUUUCAUUCCUUCAAUGGGAUAUGUAGACUGACACACUACUCAAGAAAAUACUAGAAAUGACAGAAACAGAAGCAUUAUAAGGUGCCACUUGGAGCUGUAAUCAAGCUGUUCCUAAUAACUCCAAGAAAGAGCUGGAAUCUGCUCGCUGUGGAGCCUGGAAGGUGUGCACUGCCAGUCAUCUCUCCUAAUUUAAUGCCAGAGUCAUCCAACUUUCCAGCGUGGAAAGCACACAUCAGCAAUACAUUUUCAUUAGGGUACAACUAAAAAUUUAGAUUUCUAGGUAUUUUUACUUGGUUACAGUUUAACAAAAAAAUAAUCUCACUGACAUUUGAAUGCAUGUUAUCUCAGUCUAUUAAAAAGAGCAAAAACUCUCUCCUCCCAAAUAGGGAGCCUAAGAAAUACAGCUUUUACAAAGAUAAAGCCAUGAAACAAUUAUAUCAUUCUACUAACAGGUUCCUUUUCUUUUAAUGAGAGGCUUUUUUUGAUAGAGAAAUUUAAGUGAUGAAAUAUCUUAAAUUCCCCAUGAAAAACUAAAAAUUUUGCAAUUAUUCAGUUUGCACAGAAUUUUCUUUAGAUUUCUGCAUAAUUCCUGAGAAGUUUUGGACAUCUUUAGCACAGAGAUUGUCUUCCCCUGUAAGCAAAUAGCUGUGAAAUACAUUAAGUGAGUCUGCAUUUGUCACAUCUGUCUAGCAUGCUAAUUUCCAUAAUGGAUGACAACUCACAGGUGCCUCCAGUUGUUUUAUAUUAAUUUAUAUGAUCCACAGAAGGCAUCUAAAUUUUCCACCCUUGAAACUCUGCAUAAAACAAGAGUAUUUUUAGUUAAAGCAGUUACUGGGUGACCUAGGCAGCAGAGAACUUGCAUGGGAAUACAAUUCCCUGAUUGUACUUAGUGGAACUUAAGAGAAUAGUACCAACUAUACCUUUCUCAUUUUUUAGCCAUUUGACUUGAGUCUGAUUUGUCAAAGUGCAAAUGCAGUCAACAGAAAUUGUGCUUUGAAUGCAAUAUAAACACUCUUCAAAAUGAGAUCAUACAUUUUUUAUAUUGGACACUUAGAAUUUCUAGAAACCAUUGAAUUUAAUCAAUCAAAGGGCAACACACCUGUCCUAGGAUGUUGUUAUGGUGCUUGUAUCCCCAUUUGUGUGUUCUGUUCAUGCUGGAUAUUAUGUUCUGUGCCUUCAAGACUGGCUUUGAAGGGUGGAAGUUUUGUUUUGGUUUUGCUAUCAGCUGCUCCCCCAUGGCUGGUGGGACACACAGACGGGGCAGUACAUAGCGCUGCUUUUGGCUUUUUGCUUGGCUUUUUGCUUUGCUCUUGUUCUUGCUUCUGCUUUACUCUUGCUUUUUGCU